AGUGAACGCUGGCGGUAGGCCUAACACAUGCAAGUCGAACGGCAGCACAGUAAGAGCUUGCUCUUACGGGUGGCGAGUGGCGGACGGGUGAGGAAUACAUCGGAAUCUACUUUUUCGUGGGGGAUAACGUAGGGAAAAUUACGCUAAUACCGCAUACGGCCUACGGGUGAAAGCAGGGGAUCUUCGGACCUUGCAUGAUUGAAUGACCCGAUGUCGGAUUAGCUAGUUGGCGGGGUAAAGGCCCACCAAGGCGACGAUCCGUAGCUGGUCUGAGAGGAUGAUCAGCCACACUGGAACUGAGACACGGUCCAGACUCCUACGGGAGGCAGCAGUGGGGAAUAUUGGACAAUGGGCGCAAGCCUGAUCCAGCCAUACCGCGUGGGUGAAGAAGGUCUUCGGGUUGUAAAGCCCUUUUGUUGGGAAAGAAAAGCAGCAGGUUAAUACCUCGCUGUUCUGACGGUACCCAAAGAAUAAGCACCGGCUAACUUCGUG
rnacentral:rRNA from 1 species